GUUGGAGUGGCAGAGCCCGGUAUAUUGCAAAAGGCCUAAGCCCUUUAUACGGGGGUUCAAAUCCUCCCUCCAACU
rnacentral:tRNA from 1 species